AAAGUUUGGAUGUGGCAGCAUGAAAGCCGGCCUGCGGCAGUAGCGCGAGCUCAAAGUAAACUAUUUGGGUUGUCAAGGGAACGGAAUUUAAUUCUCAACUGCCAGAGUCGGGGCUUGUUGAUGAGCUCUGCUUUACAAAAUGGAUUAAAAGUAUGUAUUUAAGCCGCUUUAAUGGUUCAAGGGCUUGACGGCUUGUUUUGCGAUAUACUACUCGUUAACGAGUACCAGCAUUCAUUUCCAGGCAGCAUUAGAGUCACUCACUACCUGUCCUGAACCGAGUUUGUUAUCUCACGUAGCUAGCAACAUUAGCUAAAGUUAAGAUAGCAAAACCGCAACAUUUCACAGAUGACAGAAACCUCAGUGGAUCCACACAAGAGCUCAGGAACAGCAGAGAGCAGGGACUUCUCUCAUCACCUGGACAGAAACUAGCUGACCAGAACCCAUAAGAAACAGCUACAAAAGAGCUGUUCAUGCUACAGUGACUGUGCUGUGGAUACUGUGCCAGGUGUCAACAUGCAUGGACCAGACCACAAAUACCAGCUGUUACUGCUACAGUGGCGGUGAUGUGGAUGCUGUGCCAGUUGUCAACAUGCAUGGACCAGACCACUAAUACCAGGUGUUAAUGCUACAGUGGCUGAUGCAGAUGCUGUGCCAAAUGCCAGCAUGGAUCUGCCGGAUCACUAACCGCAUGUGUCUACAUCAGAUUGGGGAGUUGGACACACUGUGUAUGCCCGAUGUACAUCAGAAGGCUUUCCAGGCAGGCCGACCUGACCAAUUGACGACAUCUAUGCAUACUUUGGAGCCCUUCUUCCUGGAGAAGACCACAAAGCUACUUACACUAAUAUAAAUAAAUGUUUACUUUCAUUGUUGAAAAA